rnacentral:rRNA from 1 species
UACGUAGGGGGCAAGCGUUGUCCGGAAUCAUUGGGCGUAAAGAGCGUGUAGGCGGUCCGGUCAGUCGGUUGUGAAAGUCAAGGGCUCAACCCUUGAAUGCCGGCCGAUACUGCCGGGCUAGAGUCCGGAAGAGGUGAGUGGAAUUCCUGGUGUAGCGGUGAAAUGCGCAGAUAUCAGGAGGAACACCGAUGGCGAAGGCGGCUCUCUGGGACGGUACUGACGCUGAGACGCGAAAGCGUGGGGAGCGAACAGG